GUGCUCGCUUCGGCAGCACAUGUACUAAAACUGGAACGAUACAGAGAAAAUUAGCACGGCCCCUGCGCAAGGAUGAUGUGCAAAUUCGUGAAGUGUUCCAUAUUUUU
ensembl:snRNA U6 U6 spliceosomal RNA